GACGAACGCUGGCGGCGUGCUUAACACAUGCAAGUCGAACGGAAAGGCCUGCUUUCCCUUGUGGAUUGCGGGUACUCGAGUGGCGAACGGGUGGGUAACACGUGAGUGAUCUGCCCCCAACUUGGGUAUAAGCCUGGGAAACUGGGUCUAAUUCCCGAUAGGACUGCAGGGUGGUGCCUGUGGUGGAAAACGAUUUUCUAGUGGUUGGGGAUGAGCUCGCGGCCUAUCAGCUUGUUGGUGGGGUAAUGGCCUACCAAGGCGGCGACGGGUAGCCGGCCUGGGAGGGUGGACGGUCACAUUGGGACUGGGAUACGGCCCAGACGCCUACGGGAGGCAGCAGUGGGGAAGAUUGGACAAUGAGCGGAAGCCUGAUGCAGCGACGCCGCGUGGGGGAUGACGGCCUUCGGGUUGUAAACUCCUUUCGACCGCGAGGAAGCCACCUGGUUGGAAGGGUGGUGACGGUAGUGGUAGAAGAAGCACCGGCUAACUACGUG
rnacentral:rRNA from 1 species